UUUUAAACCCGGUAGCAGCGGAAAUCCUUUUACAAACCUUAUAGGUUUAAAUGUUACUGUUGAAAGUUAGCACCUAUAAGGUUUAGGUAAAAGAUUGCAGCGGAUAACGGGAACAAAU
rnacentral:sRNA from 1 species